ACUCCUACGGGAGGCAGCAGUGGGGAAUAUUGCACAAUGGGCGCAAGCCUGAUGCAGCCAUGCCGCGUGUAUGAAGAAGGCCUUCGGGUUGUAAAGUACUUUCAGCAGUGAGGAAGGUGGGUAUGUUAAUAGCAUAUUCAUUUGACGUUAGCUGCAGAAGAAGCACCGGCUAACUCCGUGCCAGCAGCCGCGGUAAUACGGAGGGUGCGAGCGUUAAUCGGAAUUACUGGGCGUAAAGCGCAUGCAGGUGGUUUGUUAAGUCAGAUGUGAAAGCCCGGGGCUCAACCUCGGAAUUGCAUUUGAAACUGGCAAACUAGAGUACUGUAGAGGGGGGUAGAAUUUCAGGUGUAGCGGUGAAAUGCGUAGAGAUCUGAAGGAAUACCGGUGGCGAAGGCGGCCCCCUGGACAGAUACUGACACUCAGAUGCGAAAGCCGUGGGGAGCAAACAGGAUUAGAUACCCUGGUAGGCUCU
rnacentral:rRNA from 1 species